rnacentral:rRNA from 1 species
UACGUAGGGGGCAAGCGUUGUCCGGAAUCAUUGGGCGUAAAGAGCGCGUAGGCGGCCCAGUAAGUCCGCUCUGAAAGUCAGGGGCUCAACCCCUGGAUGCGGGUGGAUACUGCUGGGCUAGAGUCCGGAAGAGGUGAGUGGAAUUCCUGGUGUAGCGGUGAAAUGCGCAGAUAUCAGGAGGAACACCGAUGGCGAAGGCGGCGAUCUGGGUUGAUACUGACGCUGAGGUGCGAAAGCGUGGGGAGCAAACAGG